UGCAAGUCGAGCGGUAGAGAGAAGCUUGCUUCUCUUGAGAGCGGCGGACGGGUGAGUAAUGCCUAGGAAUCUGCCUGGUAGUGGGGGAUAACGUUCGGAAACGGACGCUAAUACCGCAUACGUCCUACGGGAGAAAGCAGGGGACCUUCGGGCCUUGCGCUAUCAGAUGAGCCUAGGUCGGAUUAGCUAGUUGGUGAGGUAAUGGCUCACCAAGGCGACGAUCCGUAACUGGUCUGAGAGGAUGAUCAGUCACACUGGAACUGAGACACGGUCCAGACUCCUACGGGAGGCAGCAGUGGGGAAUAUUGGACAAUGGGCGAAAGCCUGAUCCAGCCAUGCCGCGUGUGUGAAGAAGGUCUUCGGAUUGUAAAGCACUUUAAGUUGGGAGGAAGGGCAGUUACCUAAUACGUGAUUGUUUUGACGUUACCGACAGAAUAAGCACCGGCUAACUCUGUGCCAGCAGCCGCGGUAAUACAGAGGGUGCAAGCGUUAAUCGGAAUUACUGGGCGUAAAGCGCGCGUAGGUGGUUAGUUAAGUUGGAUGUGAAAUCCCCGGGCUCAACCUGGGAACUGCAUUCAAAACUGACUGACUAGAGUAUGGUAGAGGGUGGUGGAAUUUCCUGUGUAGCGGUGA
rnacentral:rRNA from 2 species